ACAUUUCUCUGCCGUCCUCUACAAAACAACAACGUGAAAUGACCACAUUCUGCGUUGUUUGGAGAACGUGAACGACGAGAACUAACCUUUUAAGUUUCUAUUUCAAAUUUAUCGCUGUGUUCCAGAUUCAGUUUCGUGAUAGUUUUGACAGUGAUAAAAACAAACAAAAAUGACUUAAGAUUAUCGCGGGAUUCCUAGAAAAAAUAUAAAUUCACUUUAAAGUUUUUAAUUGAGGAUUGCCGUCUUGGUACUUAAACUCCCUAGUAGCAUGACCCGCUGGGACAAUUACAUCUCUUUUCCUCAAUGUGGCUCCUAGUUAGUUAGAAUGUAGUUUUGGGGCUGUUUGUUUGUUUGUUGCGUAGAAUUUCGGUAGCAGUCGUAACUUUAAACUGUCAGAAAACUAGGGUGUCGAAGAAACAGUGUGGUUCUUCAAUGAAAAUAAAAUAAAUUUCUGCGGUAUAUCUUAGCAGUAGUCAAAGGAACUCGAAUUUAACGUGUACCAACGUAUACUCACCAACAAACUAAGUGAACUAGAAGCCAUAUUGAUAGAAAGAGAUUAAAUUAAUCUUAAUCAAUUCUUAAGCAAACAAUGAUUUGCGAUGAUAUAUAACUUUAAAAGCGUGAUAUAUGCCCCUUAUUCAUGUACAAUUCCGUCUAGUGACAGUUUUUAAACGUAUACAUUUGUAUUAUAAAUUAUUUUUGUAUGGAACAUUUCCAAAACAGAGAUGCGAUUUUAAGGGUUUAUUGUUUUAGUGGUAAUUAGUUAAGGUAUUUUAGCUACAAUUUCUUAACUACACGUAGUGUACUGUGCAGAAUUUUUAACCAUUCAUCUUAUCUACAGACCUUCUCAAUGCAUGAAAUACGACUGUUGUCAUACAGUACUUGGUGUGAAAGAAAAUGCUUGUUAGAAGCUCUAUUUAUUGAUGUAGUUUUUAUCAAGUCUUAGUUUUAUGGACAAACCUACAUAACCCACAGAGGCGCUUUGCUCAAUCAAAAUAACCUACCCUGCGAGCAAGCACUUCAGGAGUAAGCGGUUGCUCCCCAAUAGAGCAUGCUUGCAGGCUGGAAGAGGGGCAGUUUCCAUGUAUUAAAAUUCUAGCGUGGCUCGUAGGCUUACUGGUUUUGAACAAAAUCAUAUUGAGGAUGAUUCUCUUAAGCGAGCUAGGUUAAAUAUUUUGAUAUAUCGAAAUUGGCUCGAUGCAAGACGCUCAAACGUAUAUUGUUCUGAUAGCUGUUGAAUGAACUUGCUUAACCAAGUUGUGUUCCGCAGCAAAUUGCGGUUUUCGUGAGACAUUACUAGUUAGCAUCAACGUUUUAUUUUAAACUCGCGAGUAAUCUGCUCUCUUACCGUAUUCUUAAUGCACCCUAUACACUGGGGAAAUGGUGUUCCUUUCGUUUGCUUUUUUAUUCAACGUAACCUGUUUGUAUGUAUCACAUGGUUGUAAUAUAACGUUUACUAAUAAAACAUUCUACAAAUAUUCCA